rnacentral:rRNA from 1 species
GACAGAGGGUGCAAACGUUGCUCGGAAUUACUGGGCGUAAAGCGCGUGUAGGCGGUGCCGCACGUCGGGUGUGAAAGCCCGGGGCUCAACCCCGGAAGGGCACUCGAUACGACGGCGCUGGAGCCUGAAGAGGAGGGCGGAAUUCCCGGUGUAGAGGUGAAAUUCGUAGAUAUCGGGAGGAACACCAUGGCGAAGGCGGCUCACUGGCCCGGUACUGACGCUGAGGCGCGAAAGCGUGGGGAGCAAACAGGAUUGAGAAACC